UGAAAAGUUUAGCAGGCUUAGCGUGCUUUUUAUAGUAUUUUUGUCAUUAAAAUGUUUAAAUUAAAUUAAAGGCUCAAGCUGUAAUGUAUACCAUUCCACUUUAAAUGCAAGCAAUGGGUUCGAGGCAGCCUUAAAGCUGCUAUGAAUAUGCAAUGGGAGAUCCACGGAGCACGUUCUAUGGCUUUGUUCGACAGCUCAGGCAAAGCGAAGUGUACAACACAUAAAUACUGGUAUAUAUAUAUUAAUUUUCAUGCGUCAUGUUGGCCACGCCACAUGACGUCACGCUAAUGACGAUGGCAACAACGAUGACGAUGAUGAUGAUGCUGCCAACGGGAGCCUUUACUUGUGUCUGUGCAGAAAGUUCCCGCAUAUUCAUCAGGAAUCAGCAUAAAUAAAUUUAUCCUCUGCAUGGCAGUGUCCCACUCA